CCCAUUGCUGACAGCGGUGAAUUCUUUCAAUGAAAAACAUGGCACAGAACGGCAAGAAGUUUUAUAGCGGACGUCGAAGCAGCUAGGCGCCUAGCGUUGCAGCAGUGGCUACGCGGCUGCCAGCGGAAGCGGCAAGGACCAAGUCGAUCCACACUACGUAGCACAGCCAUACUGGAGCACAUGAGCAUGAGUGCGCUCUCCAGCCCUGCCGUGCACUAGUUGUGCGUAGAUGUGUCCGUUGUGUAGCCCAUCGUGCUCCAAGCCAGAGGAUGACGUCGCUCGUGAUGCCACACGACUUCGAGAAUUACUCAAGGCACAUCUGUUAUUUGUGUGAUCUGUUGCUUCAAUUGACGUAUUGAAGUUUAGAGAAAUAAUAAAACACACAAAUGGAACGUCUGCAUGUUUUUUGCUUUACUUCGCACCGAAGCGAGAAAGAUGUACUUCCGCUUCAUCUUCUUGUUCCCACGGUCGUGUGGUCACUUGCGCAGGUACCAAAACUAUGCCAUUUUCUACUGUGUUCCAGCACAUGAUCAUGCUCUGUGAUCCGCUUGUUCUGCCUCACUAUUCGUGUAGCACUGAAUUACACCUUGUCAUGUGUCCUUGUGCACAGCACGCAAAAUCAUGCACUGCGCGAAAUGAUAACAGCUCGUGUGCAACGCCGGCAGCGAAAAUCCGCAUCACCGUGGGGGGGGAGGCGAGGAGAAAAAAAAAAAAAGAAAGUCAGAGCGGGGCCCGUGACGUAUGUGUCAUGGGAUCCUCGAGGUCCGGCAUGUGAGAACGCAGGGAAGGAAUUUCACCUGCAAAGGCUAAACGAGCCAAGUGGAGAGGGAGUCUUGCCAUGCAGUGGAGCCCGCCUGCUGAAAUCACGGGUUCUUGGCCCUGAAAUAUUUCUAUCUCGGCUAGUAUUAAUGAGCAGACUUGAAAAAUUUUUACGGCAGAACGCUUGCUAGAGGACGCGUAACAACCUCCAGUGAAUAACCAAAAUUUGCUAUGGGUCUGGCCCUUUAAAAAGUACACACUGGAAAAAAUUUGUAUACAGCAGAAAGUGCAACAGAUUCUUGUGUGUCAAAACUCUGAAUGACCUUUCUUUCUUUUUUGUAAUAAGGCAAGUUCUCAUGCCACACCUCACAAUGAAAUGUCUUGAGUAUAGUUUAGUAAAUAUAACACACACAGCUUUGGUUCAUUAUGUGUGUACGCAACAACAAAGGAUGGCCUCAUUCUGUUAAAAUCCCUUCCUGUUCUGGUCAUCUUGUUAGAAAUGAAGACUUGUAUGACAAGAGCAAAAAAAUAAGGUAGCAGACAAGCAAACACAUCCAGAAACAAGGCAGAAUUCUCAAGUUCACUACAUAAUAAUACUGUGAGCUUGGGGGUAUUUGUGAAUUGCAUUACUUUUGCAUUCAAAGCAAAAGAGGACACCCCUCCCUUCUUUACUGCAAGUUCAGAGAGAGAGAGAGAGAGAGAGGCAAGAAA